rnacentral:lncRNA from 1 species
GGCAGAUGUAAAACAUUUCCCUUACGGAACAGCUGCUUUACAUUUUCUGGGAAUUGUAAUCUGCCAGUAGGUUGAAAUCUGCCCAAGACAAGCUUGUACAUUGCUAGUUACUCUAUCAGCCUGCUGGAAUGGGAUCAGAUGCAACAAACUGGCGUGCUACAUCUGGGGACGAUCAUUCAAACAGGUCCAGCUGCAAUAUUUCUAAUUGCUAUUUCCUUCUUUCACAAAGAAAACCACACAAGAAUAGGAACUCUUGGGCUCUAACAUUCUCUCCUACAACAGCCUUAUCUUUACUUAAGACAAGUGAGAGGAUGAUGGAGGAGACAGGUGCUGGGCCACCGUGUUUGAACACAGAGAUGACAUACUUGGAAGGAGCUUACAUGGAUCUUCUUCCUGCACACUCAUCCACACUCGUUCUUUUUUUUAAAAAAGCAACACUGUGAUCGGAAUUUCUACUUUGGAGAUGUUUCUAGUGAUAGCCUACAACACUUCAAUGAUUCUGCUUUUUUUUUAAGAUUGUUUUUCCUGUUUAUUCUCUAGCACACAGGGAUAUGUUAUAUGCAGAGACAUGUCUCAGUACUCGGUUCUGAAUAUUAGAUUUCAAACAGGGAUUUUCUAAAGAAUUUACAAGUACAGAGCUAAGAAAAGCCAAUGAAUAGAAAUGAGUGGUGGUGGGGAAACGCCACCAACAUGGUAGUAAUAUCAGAAACUGUUAAAUUUACUGACUCCACACCGCUGCAAGAGCAAAUCUGGCAAAUGCCACUGGAAGUAGGUGGAAUCUUAGGAGUUAUUGACACCACCUGUGAGUCUUACCCACAGACUCUACCAGGAAGUUUUAGUGUGUUUAUAUUUAACACAAUGUCACUUUAAUUAGCAGUUUGAAAAGUUAGCUGAUAUAUUUUGCUAGAUAAUCCUCUAGGUUUGAUUAUAUUAGCAAAGAAACAUCCAUGCCAAGUAAUUCUGGGGAUAUGAGUAAGUAUAUGUGCCAGGAUAGAUACAAAAAUAAAAAGUGAUUAUACCAGAUAAAUAUUCUGAGC